rnacentral:rRNA from 1 species
GACGAACGCUGGCGGCGUGCCUAACACAUGCAAGUGGAGCGACGAACCGGGCUUCGGCCCGGGGCCAAGCCGCGAACGGGUGAGUAACACGUGGGUAACCUGCCCUGAUGAUUGGGACAACCCGAGGAAACUCGGGCUAAUACCGAAUGUGCCCUCCGACCAUAAGGUCUGCGGGGAAAGGAAGCUUCGGCCUCCGCAUCGGGAUGGGCCCGCGGCGCAUUAGCUUGUUGGUGAGGUAACGGCUCACCAAGGCGACGAUGCGUAGCUGGUCUGAGAGGACGAUCAGCCACACUGGGACUGAGACACGGCCCAGACCCCUACGGGAGGCAGCAGUGGGGAAUCUUGCGCAAUGCGCGAAAGCGUGACGCAGCAACGCCGCGUGGGGAAGACGGCCUCGGU